UACGAAGGGGGCUAGCGUUGUUCGGAAUUACUGGGCGUAAAGCGCGCGCAGGCGGCGAUCCAAGUCAGUGGUGAAAGCCCGGAGCUCAACUCCGGACCUGCCAUUGAAACUGUUUAGCUGGAGUAUGAGAGAGGUGAGUGGAAUUCCCAGUGUAGAGGUGAAAUUCGUAGAUAUUGAGAAGAACACCGGUGGCGAAGGCGGCUCACUGGCUCAUUACUGACGCUCAGGCGCGACAGCGUGGGGAUCAAACAGG
rnacentral:rRNA from 1 species